rnacentral:rRNA from 1 species
CGUGUAGGCGGCUAGGUAGGUCCGUUGUGAAAACUCGAGGCUCAACCUCGAGACGCCGGUGGAAACCAUCUAGCUAGAGUCCGGAAGAGGAGAGUGGAAUUCCUGGUGUAGCGGUGAAAUGCGCAGAUAUCAGGAAGAACACCCGUGGCGAAGGCGGCUCUCUGGUACGUGACUGACGCUGAGACGCGAAAGCGUGGGGAGCGAACA